rnacentral:tRNA from 1 species
GGGGGCGUAGCUCAGGCGCGGAGAGCACUCGCUUGUCAGGCGAGAGGUCGCCGGUUCGAGUCCGGUCGUCCCCG